GACGAACGCUGGCGGCGUGCCUAAUACAUGCAAGUCGAACGCAGUGGGGACGGGUGAGUAACACGUGGGUAACCUCCCAUCAGAGGGGAUAAAACUUGGAAACAGGUGCUAAACCGAUACUGAUGGAUGAACCCGCAGUGCUUUAGCUAGUUGGUGAGGUAGGGGCGCACAAAGGCCACGAUGCAUAGCCAACCUGAGAGGGUGAUCGGCCACACUGGAACUGAGACACGGCCCAGACUCCUACGUGAGGCAGCAGUAGGGAAUCUUCGGCAAGGGACGAAAGUCUGACCGAGCAACGCCGCUUGAGUGAAGAAGGUUGUCGGAUCGUAAAACACUGUUGUUAGAGAAGCGGUAUCUAACCAGAAAGCCACGGCUAACUACGUGCCAGCAGCCGCGGUAAUUC
rnacentral:rRNA from 1 species